UAGUCAUAUGCUUGUCUCAAAGAUUAAGCCAUGCAUGUCUCAGUGCAAGCCGUCUAGUACGGUGAAACCGCGAAAGGCUCAUUAAAUCAGUUAUGGUUCCUUAGAUUGUACCCACGUUACUUGGAUAACUGUGGUAAUUCUAGAGCUAAUACAUGCCGACAGAGUUCCGACCAGCCGUGCAAAUUGGCAACAAUGCGUAUGGCUCGGAAGGAGCGCUUUUAUUAGAUCAAAACCGGCCUGACGGCGGUGUUUGCGCACUGUCGUCUGCGGCCCACGCAAAGACUUGGUGACUCUGAAUAACUUCGAGCUGAUCGCACGGUCUCGUACCGGCGACGUAUCUUUCAAAUGUCUGCCUUAUCAACUGUCGACGGUAGGUUCGACGCCUACCGUGGUGGUAACGGGUAACGGGGAAUCAGGGUUCGAUUCCGGAGAGGGAGCCUGAGAAACGGCUACCACAUCCAAGGAAGGCAGCAGGCGCGCAAAUUACCCACUCCCAGUUCGGGGAGGUAGUGACGAAAAAUAACGAUACGGGACUCAUUAGAGGCCCCGUAAUCGGAA
rnacentral:rRNA from 1 species